rnacentral:tRNA from 1 species
GCCGAAGUAGCACAGAGGUAGUGCAACUGAUUCGUAAUCAGUAGGUCGGAGGUUCAAUUCCUCUCUUCGGCA